rnacentral:rRNA from 1 species
AUACGGAGGGUGCGAGCGUUAAUCGGAAUUACUGGGCGUAAAGCGUACGUAGGCGGUUUGCUAAGUCAGAUGUGAAAGCCCCGGGCUUAACCUGGGAACUGCAUUUGAUACUGGCAGACUAGAGUAUGAUAGAGGGGGGUAGAAUUCCUGGUGUAGCGGUGAAAUGCGUAGAUAUCAGGAGGAAUACCAGUGGCGAAGGCGGCCCCCUGGAUCAAUACUGACGCUGAGGUACGAAAGCGUGGGGAGCGAACAGGAUUAGAAACCCCGGUAGUCC